UACGUAGGGUGCAAGCGUUAAUCGGAAUUACUGGGCGUAAAGCGUGCGCAGGCGGUUGUGCAAGACCGAUGUGAAAUCCCCGGGCUUAACCUGGGAAUGGCAUUGGUGACUGCACGGCUAGAGUGUGUCAGAGGGGGGUAGAAUUCCACGUGUAGCAGUGAAAUGCGUAGAGAUGUGGAGGAAUACCGAUGGCGAAGGCAGCCCCCUGGGAUAACACUGACGC
rnacentral:rRNA from 1 species